rnacentral:sRNA from 1 species
CUUCACACUGCAUCCUCGCGACUAAUGACAAUCCUUAACCCUCAUUGAGUUAAAGUCUCUCAUUAGCCGCGCGAACCUCUGCACCGGAAGAUCCUAUUUUAAAAAUUUACUUUUCUUACUUUUUACUUUUCUUACUUAAGUAAUAAGCAACAACAAUAUACUAGCGUAUUUUAUCAUUGCGUCUUAGAAAAAAGGGGNN